AGUUCCCUCUCGACAGCUACUGCUUAAAAAGUGAUUAAACAAUGUUUUUUUUUUUUCCUUUGUGAAUUGAAUCAAAAUCAAAUGGAAAUCAAAUCGAGCUGGCGGCAAGAUCAAAAGAUCCCUUUCCGUUCCACAAAUCGUGCUCUAUUUACAAUAUCGAAAUUUGGCUGUCUAUAAAUUUGAUCAAAUGGAAUAAGUUCAAAAGGUGCUCAGGUGUGCCACAGGGGAGGCGCCACAAAGUGGUUGCCACCCACAAAGCCAAACAAAGCUGCCGACUGCGGAAGUAUCCAUCAAGGCAGCCAAUUGAGGGAGGCCAUCAAGAGGCACCCAAAAGAUUAAAGAUUAAAGGCGAUGGCGAAGAUGAGGAAGAAGGGGAAGGCGAGUGCAACGUAUCCGUGACUUCAAACGGGGGAGUCUGCGCUGUUGUUGUUGUUGACGAACCUGUUGAUGCCCUCUAAUUAUAAUGGGUAUUAACUAAUUGAA